UCAGGUGCCAUCUGCUGAGCUAACAGAAACCAAUUGUUUGCUGAGUCCAACAAAGGGCAGCUCACAGCAAACUGAAAGUAUACUCAUUCUGGCAGUGCCUAAAGCACAGCCUCCAUCACCACUGCAAAGAGCAAGGCCUGAGGAUGUUACAGCCAACACACUGAGGUUUUUAGCAGCAGAAUUGCUUCUUCCCUCAAGAUUUCUGCAAAGGAACACGAGAGCAGAGAGAACAUUUUAACAAGGAGAUCUUCAACAGGUAGCUGACCAUGAAACAUGUUUGGCAGUACAGGUUUUCAGCUCUCCAGUCCUUUUUGCUAUUGGUUUGGGCAAAACUCAUCUGUGAAAAUGACAGCAUUCCUUGCAAAACUUGUGAAAAACCAAAGACUUUGCACAGGAAGGCAGAAGGGCUCAUGUUGGUGAUGGUGUCUCCAGCACUGUACCUGUAAGCCUCCAAACCCCACCUUAAGAACCUGACAUGCAAGGAAGCAGGAAACAGGGCUGCUGAAAGCAAGCACGAUGACCCAGGGCCACUGAAAGGAAGCAGGACCAGGCUGCACAGCCAGAAUCACUUCUGCAGGAUGGAGAGGGUGCAGAAGGAAGAGGAAACACUGAUGGCGGAUGUCUGUCAGACUUCUCCAGGUCUCCAAAGAGGACAGUGAUUCCCAUCACCAAUCAUCCAGCCCAGGAGUAAGGGCAACCCCUGGCAACACAAGCACAGUGAGGCUGAGGUUCCCAGCAGCCCCAGUUUCUGCAGGUGCAUGGUUUCAAACCUUGUACGGUCUCUGCUGCUCAUGCUCACCACUCUGACCAAUCUCUCAGCUUUGCCAGAGUGUUCUGUUUUCCAGCCAUGGAAUGGAUUUUUGCAGCAGAGCAACAGAACACUUUCUUCAGCAUUUUGUGAAACAACUGGUGGGAUCUGUGAGCUCCCAUACAUCACAGGAGCAAGGAACAACUUUACCAUGCCCAGAACCUGGGCCUCACCUGGCUUCAGGCUGCACAAGAUUUGUUCUCUGACACUGUAUUACAAAAGCUCUUCUGCAUAAGGUUUACCAAUCCUGAAGAAAGCAGGCGGAGGUGAGUUAGCAUUCAGUUUAAUGGAGAGAUACGCUACUGGCUGUAGCCCCAGGCUGAUGAGGCACUGCUGCAGGCCAUGCUCAGAACCACUGCCCAAGCUGCAAAGCCCAGGACGUGCAUUGUCACACGUGGUCCUUUGCUGCUUGCUGAGCGCUGAGCCACGGCGCGAGGUCAGCUCACACUGUGCUUCCCAGGUUUUGGAGAGAGAGAAUGAUAGCCUAAAGCCACUAUGCAUAUUUUGAUCCUGAACAGGCAAACCUAGGAUUGCUUGGACCACGCCAAGUCCUUGUGUGUGUUGAAUUACUCUCACACAAAGUGUGAGACACUUUGUCUGGUCUUUGUGUUUUCCUAACAGCGCUCUUCCUCUUCCUUUCCUUCAUUGGUCUCCAUUGUCUUUAGAUCUUCAUCUACUUGCCAGGACUUGCCACAGCCUCAGAUAUUUUCUACCGGUGUAUUUUUUUUUCAGGUCUUCAGCUUCUUAUUUUCCAGCUCUCCUGCACCCUAGAGUAAAGUCUGUCUCUGAGGUUUCACUUGGACGUGUUUUCAGCAUUAGACAACUUCUUUGGUAACCUUUAGACGCACAUUCAGGUAGAUGUACAUUCGGUCUCUCAUUUCCAUGUUACCAUCGCAGCAGCCAGUGAAGCCUGCUGCCCUCACUCCAGUGAAGAAAACUUCUUCCCCUUUUGCUGCUACCUCUGAGCAGGGAGAUAUCAAAGACCUUGCAGCUACAGAGCACCUACACUUUUUUUUUUUCCCUUUAUAUACUGUUUUCCUGUGGGGUUUGCAAAGCCAUUUUUUACUUCUUGCAACUCAAAAUUUCUGUUCAGGUGGACGCUGCUCUGAGCUACUUUUAUUCCACAUCGUCAGCUCACACCAUCUCUUGCAAAUUCAGAUUCCACUGGCAUUUGGGGUAGGACUCGUUCAUGGUUUUUGCUGGAGUCCUUUUCUGUUGUUUGCUGGUUUAUUUUUUAACUGUGUUUUCCAAACAAAGCCCGCUUACAGACUGACUCGCUUUCCCUGUAAAAUCCACCCUGGUUCUGUACAGCAGGACUGAACCUGUAUCACCUUUCCAGGCCCGUGACUUCCCACAGCACUCAAAGGUCAGGGUGAUGCAGGAGACUUCUGUCUCCCUUGGGGACUCCAUGAAUAUUUUACUAUUGCUUGUUCAAAGAUGGUGGAUCCACAGGCACCCUGAGUAUAAACAUUGUUAUUUCUAAAUCACUGAUGCUAUUGGGCGUACCACACUGCACACAUGACCAUGAGGGUAAGAUUCAUGUAUUUAAUGUUAGAAUCGUAAGUCCAUGCUGGGAAAGUGUCCAAGACCUGGCACAAUUUUCAAGGGGAGAGCAGGGUGGCUGGCACCAGCCUGCUCUGGUCGCACUCAUUCUGGCAGUGCCCAAUGCUCAUGGCCAAGAACCAACCACCUUUUAUUUCCCCCUCUGCAGUGAUGUACACAUACUGGAGCAAAUGCAGCUGACGGACUUCUGCUUCUCUCUACAGACCUCAAACCACUUCCGGAUGAGCACGGCCUCCAUCACUACUACAAACAACGAGGCCUGAGGACAUCACAGCCAAUGCUGUGAGGUCUGUGGUAGCAGAAUUCCUUCUUCCCUCCAGCCAACAACUGUGCCGCAGCAAAUCAGCGCCUCACUCCAGAGCGAGACCAAGCAGCCCACAACUCCCACAUCCACAGCAACCCUCCUCGGGGCUUUGGCAGCGCUUCCACACUCAGGGUCUGAAACCAGGUGCUUUAAGGGAUUUAAUUUAGGGAAAGCAUGGAUUCAUUGUUUCACCCCAGGCUCUUCACAGUGAACCUCAGCCCUAGAAGGCAGGCCCCAUUCCCACAGGCAGCAGUGCCCAGCGGCUUCCCUUCAGGACAGGCCAAGAAACCACUGUGGAUGUGGGCUCUAGGCCUUGCUUUACCUGCUGAGGGAAUGAAAGACCCCUCGAGACUACCACAUAGGAACAUGAGAGUAGAGGGAAGAUUUGAACAAGGAGAUCUCCAACAGGUAGCUGACGUAUGCAAAAUGUGAAGAGACAGGAAGACUAUUUCUCUUGUCACAGCAGCCCCAUCUAGACUGGGAACAAACACAGCAAGAAAGGGCGUUCCCUUAAAAACUGUAAUUGAAUGAGACAUAAAUCACGGCUCACCAAAGUGAGUUAGGUUUGGCUGAUGUACAGAGCUGGGAAGUGAAAGUCACUGGCUGGGUGCCCAAGGGAGGGGAGGAGAUUGGGCACGAGAUAGGCACUGAAGGGGUGCAGACGGAUAGAAAUGUGGGCAGGUCAGUGCCAACGUUGCUCUGGGCCCUACUUCUGUCAUGCCAGCAGGGUGAGGUGUGUGGCAGAACCGACUACGCAGCCUGGAACAAAGAGAAGGAGAGACCAGGACCACUGUUCAGUUAUAAGCUUUUUCUUUUUUAGAAUUCAAGCUUACACAGUUAUCUAUGCCCACUAUAUUCAUAAUUACAUUUUAAUAUCUGCAUACAAAAGCUAUGUAAAAAUUAUUUUCUUCCCCCAAAUAUACAAAUUUUCUCUUUAGAUAGUUUAAAACAUUUGUGAUCACAGAUUUUUAAUAUAUUUUAGGCUGAAAAAAUAUUACCAAUCUAGCAUAACUCUUAACACUGCUUGCAAAAAAAUACAUCAUCCAAGGUAAUUUUUUUUUUACUGUACUGCGUAACGUUUGCCUUACCCUCAGGGCACGAAACUGGUAUAAAAAUAAACCAAAUAAGCAAAACCCACAAACCUCGUAGACAGAGUAAGAAGUCCUCCCACCUAACUUCAUAAAAACAAAUGAACAACCCAAACCACCCUUCUCUUCAAAAAAAUUAUGAAUAACUAAUCUGAUGAAUUUGUGAGCAAACUAAAACUGAAGAGUGCUAGGGAAGUAGGAAAAGAGAAAAAGAAAUUACAGUAUGUCAGCUAGUUCAUGCCCUGAUACUAUCUUCACCAACAUUAAAUGUGUAAUUAAAUAAAGUGUCUUUUAAUGUUUUA